GUGGCUAUGGUGUAAUGGUAGCACUAGGAUCUGUGGAGUCCUCGGAGCGGGUUCAAAUCCCGUUAGCCACC
rnacentral:tRNA from 1 species